rnacentral:rRNA from 1 species
CCUACGGGUGGCAGCAGUGGGGAAUAUUGGACAAUGGGCGAAAGCCUGAUCCAGCCAUGCCGCGUGUGUGAAGAAGGCCUUCGGGUUGUAAAGCACUUUCAGUGGGGAAGAAAGCCUUGGGGCUAAUACCCUCGAGGAAGGACAUCACCCACAGAAGAAGCCCCGGCUAACUCCGUGCCAGCAGCCGCGGUAAUACGGAGGGUGCGAGCGUUAAUCGGAAUUACUGGGCGUAAAGCGCGCGUAGGCGGUCUGAUAAGCCGGUUGUGAAAGCCCCGGGCUCAACCUGGGAACGGCAUCCGGAACUGUCAGGCUAGAGUGCAGGAGAGGAAGGUAGAAUUCCCGGUGUAGCGGUGAAAUGCGUAGAGAUCGGGAGGAAUACCAGUGGCGAAGGCGGCCUUCUGGACUGACACUGACGCUGAGGUGCGAAAGCGUGGGUAGCAAACAGGAUUAGAUACCCGGGUAGUC